rnacentral:rRNA from 1 species
AUUGAACGCUGGCGGCAGGCCUAACACAUGCAAGUCGAGCGGAUGAAGGGAGCCUGCCUCUGGAUCUAGCGGCGGACGGGUGAGUAAUGCCUAGGAAUCUGCUGGGCAGCGGGGGAUAACGUCCGGAAACGGGUGCUAAUACCGCAUACGUCCAGAGUGAGAAAGUGGGGGAUCUUCGGAGCUUACGCUACCAGAUGAGCCUAGGUCGGAUUAGCUAGUUGGUGGGGUAAAGGCCUACCAAGGCGACGAUCCGUAACUGGUCUGAGAGGAUGAUCAGGCACACUGGGACUUAGACACGGUCCAGGCUCCUACUGGGGGCAGCAGUGGGGAAUGUUGGACCAUGGGCGAAUGCCUGAUCCAGCCAUGCCGCGUGUGUGAGGAAGGUCUUCGGAUUGUUGAGCACUUUCAGUUGGGAGGCAGGGCAGUAAGUUAAUACCUUGCUGUUUUGACGUUACCAACAGAAUAAGCACCGGCUAACUUCGUG